rnacentral:tRNA from 1 species
GCGCCCGUAGCGCAAUUGGAUAGAGUAUCUGGCUUCGAACCAGAGGGUUGCAGGUUCAAAUCCUGCCGGGCGCACCA